GAUGAACGCUGGCGGCGUGCCUAAUACAUGCAAGUCGAGCGAACGGACGAGAAGCUUGCUUCUCUGAUGUUAGCGGCGGACGGGUGAGUAACACGUGGAUAACCUACCUAUAAGACUGGGAUAACUUCGGGAAACCGUAGCUAAUACCGGAUAAUAUUUUGAACCGCAUGGUUCAAAAGUAAAAGACGGUCUUGCUGUCACUUAUCGAUGGAUCCGCGCUGCAUUAGCUAGUUGGUAAGGUAACGGCUUACCAAGGCAACGAUGCAUAGCCGACCUGAGAGGGUGGUAGGCCACACUGGAACUGGGACACGGUCCAGGCUCCUACGGGAGGCAGCAGUAGGGAAUCUUCCGCAAUGGGCGAAAGCCUGACGGAGCAGCGCCGCGUGAGUGAUGAAGGUCUUCGGAUCGUAAAACUCUGUUAUUAGUGAAGAACAUAUGUGUAAGUAACUGUGCACAUCUUGACGGUACCUAAUCAGAAAGCCACGGCUAACUACGUG
rnacentral:rRNA from 1 species